rnacentral:rRNA from 1 species
GAUGAACGCUGGCGGCGUGCCUAAUACAUGCAAGUCGAGCGAACAGAUGAGGAGCUUGCUCCUCUGACGUUAGCGGCGGACGGGUGAGUAACACGUGGAUAACCUACCUAUAAGACUGGGAUAACUUCGGGAAACCGGAGCUAAUACCGUAUAAUAUAUUGAACCGCAUGGUUCAAUAGUGAAAUACGGUUUUGCUGUCACUUAUAGCUGGAUCCGCGCCGCAUUAGCUAGUUGGUAAGGUAACGGCGUACCAAGGCAACGAUGCGUAGCCGACCUGAGAGGGUGAUAGGCCACACGAGAGCUGAGACAGGGUCCAGACGACUAAGGGAGGCAGCAGUAGGGAAUCUGACGCAAUGGGCGAAAGCCUGACGGAGCAACGCCGCGUGAGUGAUGAAGGUCUUCGGAUCGUAAAACUCUGUUAUUAGGGAAGAACAAAUGUGUAAGUAACUAUGCACGUAGUGACGGUACCUAAUCAGAAAGCCACGGCUAACUACGUG